rnacentral:rRNA from 1 species
AACGAACGCUGGCGGCAGGCUUAACACAUGCAAGUCGAGCGCCCCGCAAGGGGAGCGGCAGACGGGUGAGUAACGCGUGGGAAUCUACCCAUCUCUACGGAAUAACGCAUGGAAACGUGUGCUAAUACCGUAUACAUCCUUCGGGCGACAGAUUUAUCGGAGAUGGAUGAGCCCGCGUUGGAUUAGCUAGUUGGUGGGGUAAAGGCCUACCAAGGCGACGAUCCAUAGCUGGUCUGAGAGGAUGAUCAGCCACACUGGGACUGAGACACGGCCCAGACUCCUACGGGAGGCAGCAGUGGGGAAUAUUGGACAAUGGGCGCAAGCCUGAUCCAGCCAUGCCGCGUGAGUGAUGAAGGCCCUAGGGUUGUAAAGCUCUUUCACCGGUGAAGAUAAUGACGGUAACCGGAGAAGAAGCCCCGGCUAACUUCGUGCCAGCAGCCGCCGUAAAAC